rnacentral:rRNA from 2 species
AGAGUUUGAUCCUGGCUCAGAUUGAACGCUGGCGGCAGGCCUAACACAUGCAAGUCGAACGGUAACAGGAAACAGCUUGCUGUUUCGCUGACGAGUGGCGGACGGGUGAGUAAUGUCUGGGAAACUGCCUGAUGGAGGGGGAUAACUACUGGAAACGGUAGCUAAUACCGCAUAACGUCGCAAGACCAAAGAGGGGGACCUUCGGGCCUCUUGCCAUCGGAUGUGCCCAGAUGGGAUUAGCUUGUUGGUGGGGUAACGGCUCACCAAGGCGACGAUCCCUAGCUGGUCUGAGAGGAUGACCAGCCACACUGGAACUGAGACACGGUCCAGACUCCUACGGGAGGCAGCAGUGGGGAAUAUUGCACAAUGGGCGCAAGCCUGAUGCAGCCAUGCCGCGUGUAUGAAGAAGGCCUUCGGGUUGUAAAGUACUUUCAGCGGGGAGGAAGGGAGUAAAGUUAAUACCUUUGCUCAUUGACGUUACCCGCAGAAGAAGCACCGGCUAACUCCGUGCCAGCAGCCGCGGUAAUACGGAGGGUGCAAGCGUUAAUCGGAAUUACUGGGCGUAAAGCGCACGCAGGCGGUUUGUUAAGUCAGAUGUGAAAUCCCCGGGCUCAACCUGGGAACUGCAUCUGAUACUGGCAAGCUUGAGUCUCGUAGAGGGGGGUAGAAUUCCAGGUGUAGCGGUGAAAUGCGUAGAGAUCUGGAGGAAUACCGGUGGCGAAGGCGGCCCCCUGGACGAAGACUGACGCUCAGGUGCGAAAGCGUGGGGAGCAAACAGGAUUAGAUACCCUGGUAGUCCACGCCGUAAACGAUGUCGACUUGGAGGUUGUGCCCUUGAGGCGUGGCUUCCGGAGCUAACGCGUUAAGUCGACCGCCUGGGGAGUACGGCCGCAAGGUUAAAACUCAAAUGAAUUGACGGGGGCCCGCACAAGCGGUGGAGCAUGUGGUUUAAUUCGAUGCAACGCGAAGAACCUUACCUGGUCUUGACAUCCACGGAAGUUUUCAGAGAUGAGAAUGUGCCUUCGGGAACCGUGAGACAGGUGCUGCAUGGCUGUCGUCAGCUCGUGUUGUGAAAUGUUGGGUUAAGUCCCGCAACGAGCGCAACCCUUAUCCUUUGUUGCCAGCGGUCCGGCCGGGAACUCAAAGGAGACUGCCAGUGAUAAACUGGAGGAAGGUGGGGAUGACGUCAAGUCAUCAUGGCCCUUACGACCAGGGCUACACACGUGCUACAAUGGCGCAUACAAAGAGAAGCGACCUCGCGAGAGCAAGCGGACCUCAUAAAGUGCGUCGUAGUCCGGAUUGGAGUCUGCAACUCGACUCCAUGAAGUCGGAAUCGCUAGUAAUCGUGGAUCAGAAUGCCACGGUGAAUACGUUCCCGGGCCUUGUACACACCGCCCGUCACACCAUGGGAGUGGGUUGCAAAAGAAGUAGGUAGCUUAACCUUCGGGAGGGCGCUUACCACUUUGUGAUUCAUGACUGGGGUGAAGUCGUAACAAGGUAACCGUA